rnacentral:misc_RNA from 1 species
AUGAAUAUUAGGGCGCCUUUACUUAACGGUAUCGGGCCUGACCUCCAUUACUCACACUUGUGCACCAAAACCAAUGUUGCAACGGCGAAACGAGGACUUUUCGGGUCUUCAAAGUAGUUAUUGCUUCAUUUUUACUUAUUAUACUCUAAGUCAAUGAAUGUAAUUAAACCAUAACAAAAUA